AGACCAUUGAGUUUUGUUGUCAACCUCAUACAAGAAGCCUCUUCAGUUGGAUUCUUAUUAGUGAUGCAUAUCAUCACUUGAAUCAACAAGUGUCACUUCUGUUAUCAGCAAAGCCUAUUGCUCCAAGGCCCUGCUUCACAGAUGAGCACAGAAAGAGAAACCACAGGGUCAAGACCACAACUUCUAGAUGAGACAUCCGAAGCCCAGGAACCAAAAGAGCCGCUGAGAGUCAACUCGAGAAAGACACCCCCCUUAUUCAGGAGCAAAAACUGCAGUAGUUAGAUUCCUUCAGCAUUAACUACAAAGAUACCUUAGGGCCAAAGUAUAGGACAGGGAAGCUGCUCACUAGACUAGAUUUCCUCACAAGAUGAAGCAAGAGAGUCUCACUGAAAGCCUACGAUCCUGGCUUCAUCCUCUGGUCCUACAAUUUACAAGCCUUUGGCUUAAGUUGACAGUGCCCUACACGGUGCCUUCGGUAUGCUGGCUGUCAAGUGAGGGCUCUAGGCAUCCCAAUUCUGGCCUCCCACGUGGUUAGUCAGUUUUACAGCUGAUGAAGGUAGGGCUCCAACACUAGACUUUGUAUCAGGCAACAUUUAACUGUUGCAAAUGCUGGGAUUCUGCAGUCCUGUCUUACCCAUGAUCAGAAAGAAGAAUGCCUUACCAUUUUGCUAAGGACUGUGAACUCUCAUCCCUGGAUUUCUGGUCUCUUUGACAGAUUUUUCUUUCUUCUUCCUUUCUGGUAUUGCAGAAUGCUGCCACUGACUACCAACUAAGUGAUAUGAAGCUUUAGGAGUC
rnacentral:lncRNA from 1 species